rnacentral:rRNA from 1 species
CGGAGGGGGCGAGCGUUAUUCGGAAUUAUUGGGCGUAAAGGGCGCGUAGGCGGCCUGACAAGUCAAAGGUGAAAUCCCUCGGCUCAACUGAGGAACUGCCUUUGAAACUGUCUGGCUUGAGGCCGGGAGGGGGUAGCGGAAUUCCCAGUGUAGCGGUGAAAUGCGUAGAUAUUGGGAGGAACACCAGUGGCGAAGGCGGCUACCUGGACCGGUUCUGACGCUGAUGCGCGAAAGCGUGGGUAGCAAACAGGAUUAGAUACCCUGGUAGUCCACGCUGUAAACGAUGGGUGCUCGGUGUCGCGGGUAUCGACCCCUGCGGUGCCUUAGCCAACGCGUUAAGCACCCCGCCUGGGGAGUACGGUCGCAAGGCUG